GACGAACACUGGCGGCGUGCUUAACACAUGCAAGUCGAACGGUAAGGCCCUUCGGGGUACACGAGUGGCGAACGGGUGAGUAACACGUGGGUGAUCUGCCCCGCACUUCGGGAUAAGCCUGGGAAACUGGGUCUAAUACCGGAUAGGACCACUGCCUGCAUGGGUGGUGGUGGAAAGCUUUUGCGGUGUGGGAUGGGCCCGCGGCCUAUCAGCUUGUUGGUGGGGUGAUGGCCUACCAAGGCGACGACGGGUAGCCGGCCUGAGAGGGUGACCGGCCACACUGGGACUGAGGUACGGCCCAGACUCCUACGGGAGGCAGCAGUGGGGAAUAUUGCACAAUGGGCGCAAGCCUGAUGCAGCGACGCCGCGUGAGGGAUGACGGCCUUCGGGUUGUAAACCUCUUUCAGCACCGACGAAGCGCAAGUGACGGUAGGUGCAGAAGAAGGACCGGCCAACUACGUGCCAGCCGCCGCGGUAA
rnacentral:rRNA from 1 species